rnacentral:rRNA from 1 species
AUGGCUCAGGAUGAACGCUAGCGACAGGCCUAACACAUGCAAGUCGAGGGGCAUCGGGGCGAGGAGCAAUCCUUGCCGCCGGCGACCGGCGCACGGGUGAGUAACGCGUAUGCGACCUGCCCGUUGCAGGGGGAUAAUCGGGAGAAAUCCCGUCUAAUACCGCGUAAUGCCGCGGGGCUGCAUGGCCCUGCGGCCAAAGGGAGCGAUUCCGGCAACGGAUGGGCAUGCGUGACAUUAGCUAGUUGGCGGGGCAACGGCCCACCAAGGCGACGAUGUCUAGGGGUUCUGAGAGGAAGGUCCCCCACACUGGUACUGAGACACGGACCAGACUCCUACGGGAGGCAGCAGUGAGGAAUAUUGGUCAAUGGGCGCGAGCCUGAACCAGCCAAGUCGCGUGAGGGAUGACGGCCCUACGGGUUGUAAACCUCUUUUGUCGGGGAGCAAAUUCCGCCACGUGUGGCGGAGUCGAGAGUACCCGAAGAAAAAGCAUCGGCUAACUCCGUGCCAGCAGCCGCGGUAAUACGGAGGAUGCGAGCGUUAUCCGGAUUUAUUGGGUUUAAAGGGUGCGUAGGCGGACUGUCAAGUCAGCGGUAAAAUACGGGGGCUCAACCUCCGCCCGCCGUUGAAACUGACGGUCUUGAGUGGGCGAGAAGUAUGCGGAAUGCGUGGUGUAGCGGUGAAAUGCAUAGAUAUCACGCAGAACUCCGAUUGCGAAGGCAGCAUACCGGCGCCCGACUGACGCUGAAGCACGAAAGCGUGGGUAUCGAACAGGAUUAGAUACCCUGGUAGUCCACGCAGUAAACGAUGAAUACUAGCUGUCCGGGGCGAAUGAGCCCUGGGUGGCACAGCGAAAGCGUUAAGUAUUCCACCUGGGGAGUACGCCGGCAACGGUGAAACUCAAAGGAAUUGACGGGGGCCCGCACAAGCGGAGGAACAUGUGGUUUAAUUCGAUGAUACGCGAGGAACCUUACCCGGGCUCAAACGACACAGGAACGUACCUGAAAGGGUUCGGCUCUACGGAGCCUGUGUCGAGGUGCUGCAUGGUUGUCGUCAGCUCGUGCCGUGAGGUGUCGGCUUAAGUGCCAUAACGAGCGCAACCCCCAUCGACAGUUGCUAACAGGUCAGGCUGAGGACUCUGUCGAGACUGCCGGCGCAAGCUGCGAGGAAGGCGGGGAUGACGUCAAAUCAGCACGGCCCUUACGUCCGGGGCGACACACGUGUUACAAUGGCAGGUACAGCGGGAAGCCACCUGGCGACAGGGAGCGGAACCCGAAAGCCUGUCUCAGUUCGGAUUGGAGUCUGCAACCCGACUCCAUGAAGCUGGAUUCGCUAGUAAUCGCGCAUCAGCCACGGCGCGGUGAAUACGUUCCCGGGCCUUGUACACACCGCCCGUCAAGCCAUGGAAGCCGGGGGUGCCUGAAGUGCGCUGCCGCGAGGAGCGCCCUAGGGUAAAACCGGUGACUGGGGCUAAGUCGUAACAAGGUAACCGU